GGCUUCUUCUCUCCCUCCCUCCCUCUCCCGGCCCCGCGCCCCCUUACCCGUGGCGACCGCUACGCUGGCCACGCUCCAGCGAAAUGAGGUAGGCGGCAAGUUUGGCGUCGCUCCAGCCGCUGCGGCGUCUCAGGUCCACCCAGGGGCCGUGCGCCUCGCCCAGGAGCUGAGGUGACAGGGAAGCACCCGAGGUUUAGAUACAGGGGAUCAGCCUGGAGACAUCCCAGGACUGCGACCCCACAUUCCUGCUGCCGUGGGUAGUGGACGAAGAUGCGCUGGAUAACGUUGCGGGGCCGGAAGACCUCCUUGGGGAAAACAUCCAGCAGCAGCUGGGCCAGUGCAUGGUACAUGGUAACUGCCCAACACCGACCAACGGAGUGGAACUAAGCAAGUUUCUACAAAACAGAGAGAAAUCUGAACAGCCAGGUCGCGUGUGUGUAUGCGUGUGGGCUGGCACGAUUCCGGGUCUCUAAGAGGUCUCAUUGGAAGGUUCCAAUGCCUGCGUCACAGACAAGAUGUGUGGCCCAAGUCCGCGGUCCCAUCUGUGAAACGGACCGCCUGCAGCAA
rnacentral:lncRNA from 1 species